rnacentral:rRNA from 1 species
AUACGGAGGGUGCAAGCGUUAAUCGGAAUUACUGGGCGUAAAGCGCGCGUAGGCGGUAAGGUCAGUCGGAUGUGAAAGCCCCGGGCUCAACCUGGGAACUGCAUUCGAUACUGCCUGACUAGAGUAUGGUAGAGGGAAGUGGAAUUUCCGGUGUAGCGGUGAAAUGCGUAGAUAUCGGAAGGAACACCAGUGGCGAAGGCGGCUUCCUGGACCAAUACUGACGCUGAGGUGCGAAAGCGUGGGGAGCAAACAGGAUUAGAUACCCUAGUAGUCC